rnacentral:rRNA from 1 species
UACGUAGGGUGCAAGCGUUGUCCGGAAUUAUUGGGCGUAAAGAGCUCGUAGGCGGUUUGUCGCGUCUGGUGUGAAAAUCCAGGGCUUAACCCUGGACCUGCAUCGGGUACGGGCAGACUAGAGUGCGGUAGGGGAGAUCGGAAUUCCUGGUGUAGCGGUGAAAUGCGCAGAUAUCAGGAGGAACACCAAUGGCGAAGGCAGCACUCUGGGACGUGACUGACGCUGAGACGCGAAAGCGUGGGGAGCGAACAGG